rnacentral:rRNA from 1 species
UACGUAGGGGGCAAGCGUUAUCCGGAAUGAUUGGGCGUAAGGGGCGCGUAGGCGGCCUUGUAAGUCUGGAGUGAAAGUCCUGGUUUUAAGCUGGGAAUUGCUUUGGAUACUGUAAGGCUUGAGUGCAGGAGAGGUAAGUGGAAUUCCCAGUGUAGCGGUGAAAUGCGUAGAGAUUGGGAGGAACACCAGUGGCGAAGGCGACUUACUGGACCGUAACUGACGCUGAGGCGCGAAAGUGUGGGGAGCAAAC